AUUAGAAAGUCAAUAAUAUUUCAUUUCCAUAUUCAAAUUCAUAUACGCUACUUCAGUUAAUGAAACUUGCGUGUAUACGCAACUGUAUGUAAGGCAACUAGCGUAUACCUUGUAAACUUAUAAUUUAGUUAAUUCUUCAUAUGUUGAUCUUUAAUCUAUGCAUCAGAACUAUAUAAACAGUAACCAGGAGUAGUAAAAAUAGAAUAGACAAUCACACACAUGAACACAAGAUAUAAGGUGGAAGCCCAAUGUGGGUGAAAACCACCUGCUGCAAUAGUCUCUAUCUUCCUUUUAAUAAGAAACUUCUUUUUACAAUUUUUGUACUAGUGCAGUCUUAUACCAGUAUGAAAGAUUCUACUUGUAGAAGGCUACAAAUUUCUCUCAUUCUCUAGCUUCUCUUGGAAGGAAUCUACAACCUCUAGCUCUUGUACUAGCUGAUGUGUUUACUUGUAUGUAGGUACUAGUCUACAGAAGUUUACAACCUUCUCUUUUAUUCCAGGGACCACGUUUCAUAAAUUUUCAGACUAGAUCCUUCAAUAAAAUCAAUCAAACAUCAAAUAUAUCUUCAUCAACCAAUUUCCUUUGCACCAAACAAAACUGAAUCAAACAAUCACUUCUCAAAAUGUUGUAACCGUAAUAUAGUAGGAGUAACCAAAACCUAAGCCAGAACCUAGAACACCACAACAACAAAUAGAAGUAGCUAAAUCAUAUUUUAUGAGGUGUAUGCUACUUCAAUGUGUCAAAAUUGUGUGUAUACACACUUUUCUCAAGUUUAACCUAUGAAUAUGUUGUUUUGAAAUUUCGAACUAGCGUGUAAUACACACUUGGUCAAUGGAGAACCUGCGUAUUCCUCUUUUUCUUCAUUCUGUGAGUCUGAACUGUGAUCUGUCAUCUGAGUGAGUUGCCAUCAAGGAAAACACCUGUUUCAUAGCACCAAAUCUAAGUCAUAAAGCCAACAUCAAGAUCCCACAAAGGGUGUUGGUUGAUUGAAACAACAAGAUAGUGGUCAUGGAAGACAAAUUCAACUAAGGAGUGUGUAACAACUCACUUGACGAAUCAACUAGCCCUGAAAAUGGAUGGUGCUGAAGUGUGAAACCUAUACUCAACCAUCAGAGCCAUUUCCUAGAUUCGAUGAGUAGGAGGAAACGAGGGUCAUUGAGAAACCUCGAUCUUGAGCUUGGGUAGAUCAGCCCCCAGUGUGGAUCUUGGUAGUAGUAGAAAAUAUUCAAAUGAGAACUUUGAAGAUUGAAGUGGGGAAAGGUUCCAUGUGAAUAUCACUUAUACAUGAUUUAGUCAAUCCUAAGAGAUGGGGAAGUCUUGUAUCAAGGGUGCAAUAUAAAUGAGCAUCAAAAGGGAAUUAGGUUAAUAUUCCCGAACGGGGACAUGGUGGUGGGCGACAACGUUAUCAAAUCCGGAGAUGUCCUCGGGGGCCCAGGAAGAGUUAUCUUUUCUUUUUAACAGCUUUCCCACCCUGGAAUCGUUUCACCCAGAGAUACGGUCCAGCAGAUAAAAGAUCAUCACAUGUCUUGCAGUGUUCGGUGCACCUUCGGUGGCCUUUGAAAAUUUGGACGAACAAGUAAUGUUCAUGCUCGGUCAUACUCAUAACUGCAUCAGGUCUCCAAGCUGAACAACCUCUAGUCAAUAGAACAAUGUAAGUAAGUGAAGUCGGAAAAACAGAUCCGUAACUUUGGGAAAAGGAUUGUCUCUAAAGGCUAGGCCUAGGGACCUAUGCCCUCAACUCAUGGGCUAUCGACAGUCUGCCCAAGCUACUCUCACAGCGAGGGUGAGGAAUCACAUACUGAUUAGGCUAUGGUUAUAGAAUGCCCCCUAUCGAGGGAUUUUCCCUAGGCGGCGAACAAUAAACACAAAACUGGUAUGGACAAGGGGAAUAUGAAUGUUUAAUUAAAACAAAGCAUUGGAAUGGUCCUUGUGGAUGCUAACGCAAUGUGAUUUCUGCCCAGUACUCUAAAUUUCAAAGUGAAUAAAUUCAACCAAGUGCAGUAAUUGGCAGGAGUAACUAUGACUCUCUUAAGGUAACCAAAUGCUUCGUCAUCUAAUUAGUGAUGCACAUGAAUCAAUUAAUGAGAUUCCCACUAUCCCUAUCUAAUAUUUAUCAAAACCACAACUAUGGGAAUGAUCUUGGCAGAAUUAGCAGAGAAAGAAGACCCUGUUAAGCUUGACUCUAGUCUAACUUUGUGAAAUGACUUGAGAGGUGUAGAAUAAGAGGGAGCCAUUUUCGACACAAAUUAAAUAACGCUACUUUUAAUGUUAUUUUACUUAUUCCAUGUGGCAUAGAUGGGGAAUUGCCCCUAUUUUUGGCCUUAAGGCAUGUUUCGGUGGGUCGGUCUAAGUAGAAGACAUUGUUAGGUGGGGAGUUUGGCUAGGGCGGCACAUCUUUUAAAAGAUAACGCAAGUAUCCUAGAAUGAGAUCAAUUAGAACAUAAAUCUCGUGUGGAAAAAAAGGGUAAAAUCUCAUUUGAUUUUUGUUUUUAGUAUGAAUACAAACCAUGAAAUUGUGGCCUAUCGAUCCUUUAGAUUUUUGGAAUUUGAAGCUAUAAGUGUCAGAAAAGUUACCACAGGGAUAACUGUCUUAUGGCAGCCAAGCAUUUGUAGCAACAUUUCUUUUUGGUCCUUUGAUGUUGGCUCUUCCUAUCAUUGUGAACCAUAAUUCACCAAGUGUUGGAUUGUUUACCCACUAAUAGGGAACAUGAGAUGGGUUUAGACCAUUGUGAGAUAGGUUAGUUUUACCCUACUGAUGAAUUGCACAACAAUAGUAAUUCAACUUAGUACGAGAGGAACCGUUGAUUCACACAAUUAGUCAUUGUGCUUGGUUGAAAAUCCAUAGGCAUGAAGCUACCAUGUGUCGGAUUAUGAGUGAAUACCUCUAAGUCAGAAUCCAAGCCGAAGCAAUGCAUGUCACUCUUCGACUAUAUCUCAACCCACAGUAGGGGCGUCGCUUUACUACUCCCAGGGGCUUGU
rnacentral:rRNA from 1 species